CCAGCUCCAAUAGCGUAUAUUAAAGUUGUUGCAGUUAAAAAGCUCGUAGUUGGAUUUCGGAAGGUCCUUAGCAAUCCGCCCCUUCGGGGAGCGGGUUGCUGGCCUCCUAUGUUCCUAACGGCCCUCAUCCGCGAGGGUGGGGAAUCAACCGCUAGGAUCGUUUACUUUGAGGAAAUUAGAGUGUUCAAAGCAGGCGUAACUCGCCUCCGAAUACGUUAGCAUGGGAUAAUGGAAUACGACUUCGGUCUUGUUUCGUUGGUUUCGCUUGGCUGAAGUAAUGAUUGAUAGGGACAGUUGGGGGCAUUAGUAUUUAGUUGUCAGAGGUGAAAUUCUAGGAUUUACUAAAGACUGACCAAUGCGAAAGCAUUUGCCAAGGAUGUUUUCAUUAAUCAAGAACGAAAGUAGGAGAUCGAAGACGAUCAGAUACCGUCGUAGUCUCUACCGUAAACUAUGCCGACCAGGAU
rnacentral:rRNA from 1 species